GGGAGGUAUGGAGCGAUGGAAGAACAAGUUUACCGAACUCUGCAACUCGUUAAAAACAUACCACGAUCUUGGCCGGAAAAGUAAUUUAUGGCGAAAUGUCAGCAGUCAGAUGAUGCUGCCGUGAAUAGGCAUAUAUGUUUACGAAUUUAGCGAAAUCCAAUGCUAAAAUUAGCUUAACUUUGAUUACCUAUACCUGCGCUGCGCCUCUGCACCGUGUCUAUGCUUUACGCCCUACCUCGCGGUGAGUGAAACGCAUAUUUAUCCGAAGGCAGCCUAACUUGGUUCGAGCGGGUACAAUCUCCGACGACAAGGGUGCAACGCUUUACGGCAUGAAGUCAAGCCGGAAUUCUCAAUACGAAAAAAAAUAUGGUAGCGAAGAGACCGAAGAGGAUGUUGACGGAGGAAGCCAAGAAGAGAGGAAAGAAAAAAAAAGUGACCGACACAGAAGCAAGACGAGGAAAUCUCGGGCUGGCUUUUAGUAGUUGGCGAGGGAUUCGUGAAAUAAAAGGCUGCAAGACAGACGCCUGGCUGGCCCUCUUGCUGUUUGACUUAUCGAGGGCGUGGCAAAUAUAAGGCAUGGGUUCUCCAACAUUCCCUUGACAUCAGACAUGCCGCGUAGAAUUUGGGCAAAAAGCUACGACGGACCGGCACAGUAAAGGACCAAUCUGCAAUCAUGGCGUGGAUCAAACUCAUUGUGAACCACUUUUGGUAUUGCUGCAAACAAGCAACAACCGAUGAGCAGUUCAAGAUGAUGUGGCAUGAUGUCCUACAUCAUGUCUGCAGUCAAGACAUGUGGGUAUCUGGUUGCUGUAAGCAUGAGCCAAUGGAUGACAGCAGCCAAAAAAGCCAUAGAUAAAGUAAGAUUGGAGACUUACCAAAACCACAUCCUCAUGUAUGCGGGAAAGCGGUUUGCCUACAGCCCACCUUUAUACAAAACACGGACUUUGUGUACAGCAAUUGAUUACAAUCAUCACAACCACCGCCUUCCUGCACGUAGCCAUGAUGGACACAAGAUGUAUGGGCGGUACUACAAUAAGAAAUCCAAGAGCUGGAGUGUCUGCACCAUGAAGAGGACAAAGAACUACAGCUACAUCCCAGACGUGCAGAAGGCUAUUCUUGCCAAGAGGCUGGGAAGUGGAACGGGCCUUCCCAGAAAAUGAAGUCUAAGGCCUAAUGAGCCUAGGGUCUUGGGUUUGCUUGUGCGACACAGCAAGCACUCACAUUUGAACUUGUAAGGACUCAGGUUUUAUGGGGAGAGGGUGGUCCCUGAAGUAUUUCUAAAUGUUCUGUUAACAAUUGGCUUUUUUCCAGUGGUUUAAGAAAGUUGUUUCUAAUCAACUCAGCAAUAUUUUUUUUUAACCCAAAUGGUCAUUUUGACAAAUAUCAUUUAGGUU